CAUUAUACAGCGAAACUGCGAAUGGCUCAUUAUAUAAGUUAUCGUUUAUUUGAUAGUACCUUACUACUUGGAUAACCGUGGUAAUUCUAGAGCUAAUACAUGCUAAAAAUCCCGACUUCGGAAGGGAUGUAUUUAUUAGAUACAAAACCAAUGCCCCUCGGGGCUCUCUGGUGAUUCAUGAUAACUCGUCGAAUCGCACGGCCUUGCGCCGGCGAUGGUUCAUUCAAAUUUCUUCCCUAUCAACUUUCGAUGUUUGGGUAGUGGCCAAACAUGGUGGCAACGGGUAACGGAGGGUUAGGGCUCGACCCCGGAGAAGGAGCCUGAGAAACGGCUACUACAUCCAAGGAAGGCAGCAGGCGCGCAAAUUACCCAAUCCCGAUACGGGGAGGUAGUGACAAUAAAUACUGAUACAGGGCUCUUUUGGGUCUUGUAAUUGGAAUGAGUACAAUUUAAAUCCCUUAACGAGGAACAAUUGGAGGGCAAGUCUGGUGCCAGCAGCCGCGGUAAUUCCAGCUCCAAUAGCGUAUAUUAAAGUUGUUGUGGUUAAAAAGCUCGUAGUUGAAUCUUGGGCCUGGCUGGCCGGUCCGCCUCACCGCGUGUACUGGUCCGGCCGGGUCUUUCACUCUGCGGAACCACAUGCCCUUCAGUGGGUGUGGCGGGGAAGCAGGACUUUUACUUUGAAAAAAUUAGAGUGCUCUAAGCAGGCCAAUGCUCGAAUACAUUAGCAUGGAAUAAUAAAAUAGGACGCGCGGUUCUAUUUUGUUGGUUUCUAGGACCGCCGUAAUGAUGAAUAGGGACAGUCGGGGGCAUCAGUAUUCAGUUGUCAGAGGUGAAAUUCUUGGAUCUACUGAAGACUAACUACUGCGAAAGCAUUUGCCAAGGAUGUUUUCAUUAAUCAGGAACGAAAGUUAGGGGAUCGAAGACGAUCAGAUACCGUCGUAGUCUUAACCAUAAACUAUGCCGACUAGGGAUCGGACGAUGUUAUUUAGUUGACUCGUUCGGCACCUUACGAGAAAUCAAAGUGC
rnacentral:rRNA from 1 species